AUUGAACGCUGGCGGCAGGCCUAACACAUGCAAGUCGAACGAGUGGCGGACGGGUGAGUAAUGUCUGGGAAACUGCCUGAUGGAGGGGGAUAACUAAUGGAAACGGUAGCUAAUACCGCAUACCAUCGGAUGUGCCCAGAUGGGAUUAGCUAGGAGGUGGGGUAACGGCUCACCUGGGCGACGAUCCCUAGCUGGUCUGAGAGGAUGACCGGCACAACUGGAACUGAGACACGGUCCAGACUCCUACGGGAGGCAGCAGUGGGGAAUAUUGCACAUGGGGCGCAAGCCUGAUGCAGCCAUGCCGCGGGUAUGAAGAAGGCCUUCGGGUUGUAAAGUACUUUCAGAGGGGAGGCGUUACCCGCAGAGGAAGCACCGGCUAACUCCGUGCCAGCCGCCGCGGUAAUUC
rnacentral:rRNA from 1 species